rnacentral:tRNA from 1 species
CAUUAAGAAGCUAUGUACUCAGCACUAGCCUUUUAAGCUAGAGAAAGAGGGUAACAUCCUCCUUAAUGA